rnacentral:rRNA from 1 species
UACGUAGGGGGCAAGCGUUGUCCGGAAUUAUUGGGCGUAAAGCGCGCGCAGGCGGUUGUUUAAGGCUGGUGUAUAAACCAAGGGCUCAACCUUUGGACGCAUUGGAAACUGGGCAACUGGAGUGUAGGAGAGGAAAGUGGAAUUCCACGUGUAGCGGUGAAAUGCGCAGAUAUCAGGAAGAACACCCGUGGCUAAGGCGGCUCUCUAGUACGGUACUGACGCUGAGACGCGAAAGCGUGGGGAGCGAACAGG